rnacentral:rRNA from 1 species
UACAGAGGUCCCGAGCGUUGUUCGGAUUCACUGGGCGUAAAGGGUGCGUAGGUGGCAUAGAAAGUUUGAUGUGAAAGCUCAGGGCUUAACCCUGAAAUGGCAUUGAAUACUGCUGUGCUGGAGGUUUGGAGGGGGGACUGGAAUUCUUGGUGUAGCAGUGAAAUGCGUAGAUAUCAAGAGGAACACCAGUGGCGAAGGCGAGUCCCUGGACAACACCUGACACUGAGGCACGAAAAGCUAGGGGGAGCAAAACAGG